rnacentral:misc_RNA from 1 species
GCAAACUUGGUCAUUUAGAGGAAGUAAAAGUCGUAACAAGGUUUCCGUAGGUGAACCUGCGGAAGGAUCAUUACCGAUGGCGCAGUUGAGCCGGGUGGGUGCGGUUGCCAGUCAGCCCGCCGCCUGUGGUUCCUCCCAUUUCCCACCCUUGCAUACCGAACUUUAGUUGCCUUGGCGAGCCGACGCUUAGCGGCGUCACCCCUAUUCCUUAGGGGGCGUGCUCGCCAAAGGACUGUUGAACACGAUCUGAAUUUUAGUGGUUUGUCUGAGCAAAGCUUUAAUUAUUAAAACUUUCAACAACGGAUCUCUUGGUUCUGGCAUCGAUGAAGAACGCAGC